CGGAGCUUCACAGUGGCUCAGAGCUUCCCCAAUUAAGCAAAGAAAAAAAUUCAUAGAAUCUCUCUGUGCAAGAACUUCGGAAGACAAAAAAAUGGAUGCCGAAACCGAACAAAUGAUCGAAAAAACGGUGCGUGGAAUCCUGGAAAAAUCGGACAUGGACGAGAUGACAGAGUUCAAGAUUCGAAAGCGGGCCUCUGAAGUGCUCGACCUCGACCUCUCUAAACCCCCCUAUAAGGCGCUCGUCAAACGGGUCGUCCAGUCCUUCCUCGAAGAGCAAAAUCAAAAGGAACAACAACAACAAGAAGUAGAAGAAGAUGAAAACCCGAAACUUGGUGAUGCCCAGGACCAGGAGUAUGAUGAUAAUGGCGAUCUCGUCAUUUGCAGGGUCAGAGUUCCUCUUCACUCUGUUUGUUUCCCGAGAAAAAGAAAAAAAAAAAAACCCAUGAGAUGAAGAAUGAGUGUGUUUCUUUUUUUUGGGUUCACCUUAAUUUUGUACUUACUUGUUGGGUCUUUUUGGGAUUUGGGGUUUGGUUGUGAUGCAGCUUUCAUCGAAGAGGAAGGUGACACUUCAAGAAUUCAGAGGGAAAUCAUUGGUGUCUAUAAGGGAGUUUUAUAGUAAAGAUGGCAAAGAGCUUCCUACUACCAAAGGUAAUCUAUUUAUGUCCUAUUUGAACACCUCCCUAGUCCUAUGGCAUGUUAAUUUAUCAAUUUAUGCAUGUAUAUAAGGCAUUGAUUUAAGCUUGCAGCUUCAAUUGCUUACAUUAGAUUUGUCUGUGACAGUUUGCUUACCUAUUAUUAACAGCUUUUUCUGGUAUAUGAGAGUUUGUGAUCAAAUAUAUGUAUGCAUGUAUGUCAGGCAAUUAUCUAAUUUAGCUGCAACUUCUGAUUAUAGAGCUCACUUACUAUUGCAUUUGCCUUGAUUUGGAAAUGGUUGAUGCCAUCACUGUCAUAUAAUAUUUUAAGUGCCAUGUCGGGUGUCAUAAGCUUUUGUUCAAUUUUUACAUUACUUGCUUUCCCUGGGUUGUAGUUUGCUUACACAAUCUGACUGCCUCAUCAUGAUUGUGUUCAUUCAAAACAUCUAAGUUAUGGGUUAGCUUGUCAUCUUGGCGUCGUAAACCACCAACGCAGAUUUCUCAACUUCGUUUUCUGCAUUGUUGUUUACAUUCAGUGCUGCUAACUCAGAAUUGUCCUUCUUUUUCCCUUUCUCCGUUACUUACCUUUUAUAAUCCCAAGAGGCCCUUUUAGCAAAAUUGAGCUAGAGAUUCCUUGUUUCUAGCUUUUGUAUACUUGAUCUUUCGGAUGCAUGUACUGAUGACUGUCUUAAGCUUAUUUAUGGUUGUAUUUGCUUAAAUCUUUGUCCUACAGGAAUAAGUUUGACAGAGGAGCAAUGGGCAGUCUUCAAGAAGAAUGUACCUGCGAUAGAGAACGCCAUCAGUAAGAUGGAGUCAAGGAUCUGAAAUUUUCGGAAUGUCUUAUCCUUUUCAACCUCCAUUACCUUGUCGGUUGUACUGGCUUCAGCUUUAGGGCUUCAUAUUGGUCUCUUGAUGGCAGAAUAUUUUCUUUGGAACAUGAAAACUGCGGUGAUUUUUCUAAUUAGCCCUUAAUGUUAGAAGUCAACUUGUUGUGUUAUCUGUUACAAAUUAACACGUUCAUACGAGAUGUUGUCAUAUUCAGUUUUUAGAAGGAAACAAAUAAAAUAGAAAUGGAUGAUCCUUACCAUAAUCCUUCAUCUUUGAAGAGAGAUUCUUGUUUGUGUUUACUGCACCGUCGGGUUAUGGAUUGUACAAUACAAACUCCUUUUUAUCUUAGUAUUCCAG
rnacentral:lncRNA from 1 species